rnacentral:rRNA from 1 species
CCAGUAACGGCGAGUGAAGCGGCAAAAGCUCAAAUUUGAAAUCCUGCGGGAAUUGUAAUUUGAAGGUUUCGUGGUCUGAGUCGGCCGCGCCCAAGUCCAUUGGAACAUGGCGCCUGGGAGGGUGAGAGCCCCGUAUGGCGCACGCCGACUCUUUGCACCGCGGCUCCGACGAGUCGAGUUGUUUGGGAAUGCAGCUCUAAGUGGGUGGUAAAUUCCAUCUAAAGCUAAAUAUUGGCGAGAGACCGAUAGCGAACAAGUACAGUGAUGGAAAGAUGAAAAGCACUUUGAAAAGAGAGUGAAACAGCACGUGAAAUUGUUGAAAGGGAAGGGCUUGCAAGCAGACACGGUUUUACCGGGCCAGCGUCGAAAAGGGGGGAGGAACAAGAACUCGAGAAUGUGGCGCGCACCUUCGGGCGCGCGUGUUAUAGCUCGUGUUGACGCCUCCAUCCCUUUUCGAGGCCUGCGAUUCUAGGACGCUGGCGUAAUGGUUGCAAGCCGCCCGUCUUGAAACACGGGAC